rnacentral:rRNA from 1 species
GGUACCUACGGGACGCAGCAGUGGGGAAUAUUGGGCAAUGGGGGAAACCCUGACCCAGCAACGCCGCGUGAAGGAAGAGGGCUUUCGGGUUGUAAACUUCUUUUACCAGGGACGAAGAAAGUGACGGUACCUGGAGGAAAAGCUCCGGCUAACUACGUGCCAGCAGCCGCGGUAAUACGUAGGGAGCGAGCGUUGUCCGGAUUUACUGGGUGUAAAGGGCGUGUAGGCGGAGCUGCAAGUCAGAAGUGAAAUCUCCGGGCUCAACCCGGAAACUGCUUUUGAAACUGUAGCCCUUGGGUGUCGGG